ACGACUGCAAAAAAAUUAUCUAAAAUCGAUACGCAUAUGCUCCUUUGUCUCAAAUUUGUGAAUUUUUAAAAUUGAUAACUUCAUUGGGUUUUGGACUUGCUUUGAAAGUGCUUGAAAUAAUUUCUAUGUGCAAAAUGUUUCACUUCAAUAUAUAUUCUAUAGCACAGUGACGGACUUUGAAAAAGACAUGAGAAAUAUAUUGGUAUAUCGGGUUCACUAACAGUCGAUCAAAAACAGCAAUGGUUUUGAGCCCUUUUUAAACAUAUUUUGGACAAAACUUAAGUGCAUAAAUAUAUUUCGAAAACGAUUUGAAAGUUAAUUGAUUUGACAGCAACUGUUGAAAGUUAUUUAAAGCGAUUAAAAUAUUUACAUGAACCGAAAAGUUUUUAAUAGUUUUAUUGGUGUGUUUAAAAGAAACUUAAAGCAAAAAUGACCCACAUUCUCAAAACUGACAACAACGUUGGCCAAAUUAUAUUAUUUGGACUCUAUCAAAGGAUUCCAGCGACUACUAUUUCUUCUCAAACCUUAAAAAGAUUUCUGGGAAGAUAAUAAAGAUAACAUCACCUAAAUAUAGGCUUUGUUUAAACGCCUUCUCAAAUAGUUCAACAUAUAUGAAGGGAAAUUCAAAAUAAAAAUGCAAAUGAUUAUUUUAUUCUUAUUACCAUAAAGUAGCUGAGAGGGCAUUAAUCAAAACUACCAGCUAACGAACAACACAAUCGUAUGGUUCACAGACGGAUUGCUUACGGAGGAAGGUGUCGGAGCGGGCAUAGUCGGACCAAAACUACCUUGAUAACCUAAAUCUGCUUGGCAAAUAAAAUCAGGUGUCGAUUCUUUGGGUACCGGGACAUACUAGCGUGUGCAAAAACGAAUACGCGGACAAACUAGCCAGGACUAGGAUAUAGUACGCUCCUUUCUCUUAUAACAAUAAAGGAGAACCAGAAUAAAAAGGAUUAUUGGGAUAAUAUACCAGGAUUGCAUGAAUCUAUCAAAAGAAAAACAGAAUAAUCGACCCGACGGUUACAGUGCCACAUCUUCUAACAAUAAUAAUAAUAAUAACAAAUACAAUUCAUUUUAUAUUGAGUUAUUUGUUAUGUCAAAACUUUACUUCAAAUUAUG